CUUCAUGAAGCUGGAAUUGCUGUAAUGGCAGGUCAGCAUACUGCCGUGAAUACGUUCCCGGGCCUUGUACACACCGCCCGUCACACCAUGAGAGUUGGGAAUACCCGAAGCCUGUGAGCUAACAUAUGAGGCAGCAGUCGAAGGUAGAAUCAAUGAUUGGGGUGAAGUCGUAACAAGGUAUC
rnacentral:rRNA from 1 species